rnacentral:rRNA from 1 species
UACGUAGGGUGCAGGCGUUAAUCGGAAUUACUGGGCGUAAAGCGUGCGCAGGCGGUCUGCUAAGCGAGAUGUGAAAUCCCCGGGCUUAACCUGGGAAUGGCAUUGGUGACUGCACGGCUAGAGUGUGUCAGAGGGGGGUAGAAUUCCACGUGUAGCAGUGAAAUGCGUAGAGAUGUGGAGGAAUACCGAUGGCGAAGGCAGCCCCCUGGGAUAACACUGACGCUCAUGCACGAAAGCGUGGGGAGCAAACAGG